AGCGAACGUUGGCGGCAUGCCUAACACAUGUAAGUCGAACGAGACCUUCGGGUCUAGUGGCGCACGGGUGCGUAACGCGUGGGAAUCUGCCCUUGGGUUCGGAAUAACAGUUAGAAAUGACUGCUAAUACCGGAUGAUGACGUAAGUCCAAAGAUUUAUCGCCCAAGGAUGAGCCCGCGUAGGAUUAGCUUGUUGGUGAGGUAAAAGCUCACCAAGGCGACGAUCCUUAGCUGGUCUGAGAGGAUGAUCAGCCACACUGGGACUGAGACACGGCCCAGACUCCUACGGGAGGCAGCAGUGGGGAAUAUUGGACAAUGGGCGAAAGCCUGAUCCAGCAAUGCCGCGUGAGUGAUGAAGGCCUUAGGGUUGUAAAGCUCUUUUACCCGGGAUGAUAAUGACAGUACCGGGAGAAUAAGCCCCGGCUAACUCCGUGCCAGCCGCCGCCGUAACAC
rnacentral:rRNA from 1 species